rnacentral:rRNA from 1 species
UACGGAGGGAGCUAGCGUUGUUCGGAAUUACUGGGCGUAAAGCGCGCGUAGGCGGCUUUGUAAGUUAGAGGUGAGAGCCCGGAGCUCAACUCCGGAACUGCCUUUAAAACUGCAUCGCUUGAAUCCGGGAGAGGUGAGUGGAAUUCCGAGUGUAGAGGUGAAAUUCGUAGAUAUUCGGAAGAACACCAGUGGCGAAGGCGGCUCACUGGACCGGUAUUGACGCUGAGGUGCGAAAGCGUGGGGAGCAAACAGG